AGUGAACGCUGGCGGUAGGCCUAACACAUGCAAGUCGAACGGCAGCACAGUAAGAGCUUGCUCUUACGGGUGGCGAGUGGCGGACGGGUGAGGAAUACAUCGGAAUCUACUUUUUCGUGGGGGAUAACGUAGGGAAACUCACGCUAAUACCACAUACGACCUACGGGAGAAAGCAGGGGAUCUUCGGACCUUGCGCGAUUGAAUGAGGCGAUGUCGGAUUAGCUAGUUGGCGGGGUAAAGGCCCACCAAGGCGGCGAUCCGUAGCUGGUCUGAGAGGAUGAUCAGCCACACUGGAACUGAGACACGGUCCAGACUCCUACGGGAGGCAGCAGUGGGGAAUAUUGGACAAUGGGCGCAAGCCUGAUCCAGCCAUACCGCGUGGGUGAAGAAGGCCUUCGGGUUGUAAAGCCCUUUUGUUGGGAAAGAAAAGCAGCAGGUUAAUACCCCGCUGUUCUGACGGUACCCAAAGAAUAAGCACCGGCUAACUUCGUG
rnacentral:rRNA from 1 species